GAUGAAGAACGUAGCGAAAUGCGAUAAGUAAUGUGAAUUGCAGAAUUCAGUGAAUCAUCGAAUCUUUGAACGCACCUUGCGCUCCUUGGUAUUCCGAGGAGCAUGCCUGUUUGAGUGUCAUUAAAUUCUCAAUCCUCUCUGGGUUUUUUUUCUUAGUUAGGAUUGGAUAAUGGGGGCUUUGCUGGCUUGAAUAAGGUCAGCUCUCCUAAAAUACAUUAGCAAGACUCUUGUUGCAGCCUUCUAUAUGGUGUGAUAAUUAUCUACAUCAUAGAUUGCAUGCAGUAAAAAAAUGUCAGGCUUCUAACAGUCCAUUGGCUUGGACAAACUAAUUGACAAAUUUGACCUCAAAUCAGGUAGGACUACCCGCUGAACUUAAGCAUAUCAAUAAGCGGAGGA
rnacentral:misc_RNA from 1 species